UUUGGUUGAGCCCUAACAUUGAACUUCAAAAGCAAUUUUUAAAUUUUAGUUACCUAUUAAUUCCAUUUUUAAAAUCUGAAUCUAGAAUUUUGAGCAUUUUUUUAUUUUUUAUUUUAUCUAUGCAAGACAAUAAUAUCAGGUUUAAAAUCUGAAUCUAGAAUUUUGAGCAUUGUAGCACGGCGCACUUUUUAAUCAAGCAGGUGGUGCAGAUAUUUUAGGAGAAUUACGGGUAAUUUAAAGUAUUUUCAGAUAUUUUCAAACUUUCAUUAUAUGUUAGAGUGGAAUAUUGAUAAUUUUUUCUUAGGACAAUGAUUUGAUAUUUCACUCUCAUGUUUUCCGUAAAACCAUCCCCUUGACUAACCCACCCUAUAGAAAAAUUUAAAAUAAAUACAUUUUGUAAAUCCAUCCCAUAAAUACCAAAAAUACCCCUUUUGAAAUGUCUUAAUGAUCGUUGAAGAGUACAUUUAUGUUUGCUUUUGAAAUCUAGCAUGAAAAUUGCAUCUUGUCUAAGGACCAAGGUAGCGGCACUAAUGGGAGAGCAGCACCCUCACAAGUGUGAGGGCAUCAGUUCAAGCCCUCUCACAAAAGUAUUGUGGGAGCUAAAAUAUUCUAAAAUCUUUCUCCCUUGCGAAAUGGGAAUGGAGCGAAGACAUUCUUCCUCUGUAAGGGUUAUUUGUUUGGACAUGUAUUUCAUAGAAUUUAAUAUAAUAAUGUAAGUUACAAUUAUAUAUAUUUGAUUGUAAAUAUUAAUGUAAUAUUUGAUAUAAUAGCAGUUGUAAAUAUCUGUACAAUACAGUAAUCUAAUGUGUAAUCAGUAUUACAGAAAAUGAGAGAGCAACUAACAUGAUUCCUUCACUCAUGAUCUGCAGAGAAAAUGACAGCGUAACAAUUAAGAGGAUUGCCUCCAAUUUCUUUCCUUUACAAGCUCUUGAUACUUCUAAGUAUAAACUACUUCUUAAUACCACAUGAAUGAACCACUUUUUAAUUAAAAAUUACUUUUAAAAAAACAAAACUUGAAACUUAAUAAUUAUGUUCCAAAUUUUUCCCAUGCCAUGUCUUCUUCCUCUAUCAAUUCAAUAUUACAUAGUUUUUCUUUUCUAGAUUCCUCCCUUUCUUUAACCACUCGUGGUAAGGGCUGCUACCCUCCAAAUGUAAGGGCAGUAGUUUGAAUCCCCACAAACGUGCUAUGUGGGUAAUUUCUUUCCUAAUUAUAAUGUGUAAUUGAGUAAAAACAGUUUUCUCGCUUAUCAAAUGUGAGUAAAGUAGACAUCCCUUAAAUAUUAGUGAAGGUUAAAAAUAAUAUGAGCAGUACAUCAUAAAAACUUAUAGAAUUGAUGCAAGCUAUUACCAAAUGUGAGUAGAGUAGACAUCUUUCGAAUAUUAAUAAGAGUUAAAAAUAAUUUGAGCAGUACAUAAUAAGAAUUGAUACAAUUGAUAGAAUUGAUGCAAACUAUUCUCAGUAAUAGUUUGAUUUGUAAAUAUCAGUUAUAGUCUCACGUAAUAUGAGUUAUAUUAUGAACAAUAGUUUCAUGUAAUAAAAUAAAAAAAUCAUUCCCUUUCUUCUUCUUAUAUCAUUGCAAUAUUUACUUCUUUUUUUAUUUGAAUGAUUAAGAAAGAGUGUUAGAAUAUAAAAACUCAUAAGCUUAUGGUCUACUAAAUUUAACUUAUAAAUCAUAAUAGACAAUAAUUGAACUAAUAAUUAUUUAUGUACCUAUUUUAGUCAUUUCAGCUAAUGAUAAUAUUGUGAUUAUAUAAAAUGUAAUAAGUGGAUGGUUUUAUACAAAAUGUGAGGGGAAUAUCGCCACCAUUUUUCUUCUUUAAUUUCUUUUAGGGUAGAUAUAUUUUCACCUCACUAUCUUUGUAAAUCCACCACACUUUUAGAAAAUAAUUAUAAUAAGAUCACAUUAUUUUUAAAAUAUGCAAAUCAAC
rnacentral:lncRNA from 1 species